rfam:Bacillus sp. FJAT-27231 Scaffold1, whole genome shotgun sequence.
AUAAACAAGAAGAAGCACCCGCUUCUCACCUGAUUGACGCAUCAGCAGUUGGCAGGUUUGAAUGUAAUGAUAAAUGACACUUAUGUCGUUUUAUGCGGGUAUGCACUCAUGCCCGCAUUUUUUAUUGCAU